UCGUGGAGUGAUUUGUCUGGUUAAUUCCGAUAACGAACGAGACCUUAUUCUGCUAAUUAGCUGGGCCAACUUUUUAGUUGGUGGUUUCUAGCCUUCGGGCUAGCCAGCUUCUUAGAGAGACUACUGAAUACAAUUCAGGGGAAGUUUUAGGCAAUAACA
rnacentral:rRNA from 1 species